UCAGAUCAGGUAGGAAUACCCGCUGAACUUAAGCAUAUCAAUAA
rnacentral:rRNA from 1 species